UGUGAUUUUACAUUUGUAUAUAUGUAACCUGAUAUUCUUACCUCCUUUAGUAUAAAUCAUCGUGGAUCUUGUUAGAAAAGUCAUCCAGUCCCAUAUGAUUACUCAAAGGAUUUUGAAGACUGAAUAGGUAAGAAACUUUCAGUAGCGUAAAUACAAAUUAUUCUAAAGCUUUAAACAUUCUAGGUAUUAAACAGAAAAAUAUUUUUAAUGCUAUAGCAGGAAUACACAUUCAUUUUAAUAGUAAUCUUGUCAUGAAUAUCUAAGAAGUAUCUCAUGCCUUGGAGCCUACCAAAUUCUAGACUGUGCUUUUCUAGUUUGAAUUCUAAACUGUUGUCUGUUACAGGUGCUUGGCUAUGGAGUUUGUCUGUGGCAAAAAGAGUGGAUGUCAUCCUGAAGAGUCAUCCUGAAAUUUUGAGGAUUUUGUGACUAGUUACAUCUCUCCUUGUAUAAUCUUUCUUUUUGUUAGUGGUCAGAGAAACUUACUUUCCACUAGAAACUAAAUCUAACUACAUGCUACUAGCAUAAAUGCUAGUAGUAUGUGAUGCUGAGUGCAUACUCAGAUUACCUGGAAAUUAUUUUCUAACUUUUGAAUUUUAUAGUUUAAAUUUCUAAAAAUAAGCUUGAAAAAAAAAGCUCUUGAGAGUGUAAACAUUAUCUAACUCAGUCAAGCUAUGGUUAAGUAAAUUUCAUGUUAUUAAUUUGUUACACAGUUUUAAAAAGAAGUUGAAAUGGGAUUAGGCGAUGUGGUCUUUUAAGAACCUUUAUUAUAGUGGCUUUUGUAGGAAGUUAAGUGAGGCUUUUUUAAUGAACUACUAGAGUAAUUUAACAAUGAGAUGCACAGCUUGACAGGAAUAUCAUUGUACUGAGCACAAUACUACCUAACUAUAUAAUGAAAGAUUAUAAUGAAUAUAUGAAAUAAUUAUAAUGAAUAUGGGUAAUGAAAAGACUGUAGGAAUGUGAGUUAUAAAUUUAAUCCCCGGUAGAACUUGGUGGCAAAAAAUACAUAGGUACUUCCCUUCAGGGUGGAGAAGAUUAUUCAUGAAAUUUUUUUCCGUUACUAGCUAAAGAAGUUGUUUAUCCCAUUACUUCUAAACAAGCUAAUGAAUGGUAUGAAUGUGGG